rnacentral:rRNA from 1 species
CAGUCGCCGCGGUAAUACAGAGGGUGCGAGCGUUAAUCGGAUUUACUGGGCGUAAAGCGUGCGUAGGCGGCUUCUUAAGUCGGAUGUGAAAUCCCUGAGCUUAACUUAGGAAUUGCAUUCGAUACUGGGAAGCUAGAGUAUGGGAGAGGAUGGUAGAAUUCCAGGUGUAGCGGUGAAAUGCGUAGAGAUCUGGAGGAAUACCGAUGGCGAAGGCAGCCAUCUGGCCUAAUACUGACGCUGAGGUACGAAAGCAUGGGGAGCAAACAGGAUUAGAUACCCGCGUAGUCCCUGUCUCUUAUAA